GAUGAACGCUAGCGGCAGGCCUAAUACAUGCAAGUCGAACGGAUAGGAGAGCUUCGGUUCUUCUAUUAGUGGCGCACGGGUGCGUAACGCGUAUGCAACCUACCUUAAACUGGGGGAUAGCCCGGAGAAAUCCGGAUUAAUACCGCAUAACAUCAUUAUUUGGCAUCGGAUGAUGAUUAAAGAUUUAUUGGUUUAAGAUGGGCAUGCGUGCCAUUAGCUAGUUGGUGGUGUAAUGGACCACCAAGGCGAC
rnacentral:rRNA from 1 species